ACAAGUUACCCUACGGAUAACAGCGUAAUCCUAUUCUAGAGUCCAUAUAGACAAUAGGGUUUACGACCUCAAUGUCGGAUGAGGACAUCCUAAUGGUGUAGCUGCUAUUAAGGGUUCAUUUGUUCAACAAUUAAAGUCCUACGUGAUUUGAGUUCAGACUGGAGUAAUCCAGGUCGGUUUCUAUCUAUUUAAUAUUUCUGCUAGUACAAAAGGACAAGAGAAAUAGGGCCCACUUCAUAAAGCACCCUCGCCUCAUAGAUGAUACUAUCUCAAUUAACAACAUGACCAAACA